UUUUAUGAUUGUGUUCUUUUUCAUAUUAUGUGAUUUUCUUUGAUUAUAAUUACGCAAUGAGAGUAAGAAGAUAUAUAAAAAUAGUACGACGACACCAGAAGUACUUCUCUUAAGUUUUGUGAUGUAUGUUAUGUUCAUGGUGUCAUAACCAGAUUUUACUGUAGAUUUAACUAGCCCAUUGCUGUAGAUUUUUUGUCAAUCCAACACUGUAGCAGUCCGUUACUGUAGCAGCACGAAUUUUCUUCUCUUAAAACCCUUCUUCCUUUCUUCUUCAUCUUCCUUCCUUGUGUUGGCCGAACCCUACUCUUUUCUUAAAAAUUUUCCAGCGAGGUUUUACGGCGAACUAAAGCCUCCAUUCUCCUUCUCCCAUCCUCUUGAAUACGAAGUCUUGGCUCGAGGUAAAGAUUUAACCGAGGAUUAGCUUGCGAGGAAGACAAAUCGCCAAUUCAGUAUCAGUUCAGCGAAGCGAUGCGGAUAUGAAGUGCAUGGCAAGAAUUUGUUUUAGGGUAGCUAGUUUAGCUAUUUGUGUAUUUUCCCAGUUCUUAAGUUGUAGUGUAUUAAUUGCAUUAAUGUAAACUUCUUGUUAAUAUUUAUGUAUUCAUUUCUGUAUCCUAAGAACCCUUGCAUUAGUUGUGGU